GUGCAUGUAUGCGUGUGCGGUCAAGUUUGAUUAAAAUGAUUGUGCAAGAAUAUAAUAGAUAUUAAAUUACGAAACGGAUCAUUCUUUGAGACACUUACUCCCGAUUCAUUCCUUAUCUAGAUUCGCAAGCACAAAUCCAAACGGAACGUUGAGGUAACACGUAAAGCGAUUGCGCACGCGUCACAUUUUAUAUAGAAGAGAGAGAGAGAGAGUGACACGCCACGAUCAACAGAAAGAGGAAACGGGCAUUAGCCUUCCCGAGAUCCGGGAUUCGCGCGAACAGAAACAGAAGAUAGACAGAAGGAUGGGUCGCAAAGUAUGAAGUCUCUAUCAGAUUAGAAGCAUAGAGGAAUGAAGAUUGCGGAUUGAAUAUGAAAAUUUGAUGUGAUCCGGGUUUUAAAGGGACGACGAGGUCGAUCCACUUUGCGAUCUUCUUACGUGCGACAUAAGAGGACGGAGAAUGGAUUCAUCGUUGCGGAGAACUUUCUCCCGGACGGGCGCUCCAACACUCGUAUACGUGGCUCUUGUGUCUGGCCACGUAACUUUCGAAACGACAGGACAGGUCUCUCGCAGAUUGCCAGUGCAUUCCUUUCAACGAUGCACAUGGGAUUGAUCCUUGUGCCGCGAUCUCGAGGACUCUUGCAUGUAUUAUACGGCAAGUGCGACGACUUGAUCCGGCUUCCCGCAAGGACGUUCUCGUGAACAGAGAUAGAGAGAAAGAGUGAGAGAGGGGGAGGGGAUCGCGGGCUUUCGCAAGGAGGCCGUAGAUUCCACAAGGAAACAAGGCCUCUUCCCGGGAAGCGCGCGGCGUCGGAUGCCGAGGAAGCCGCUCUCGCGCCGAAGAGGCAAGAAAGAGGGGACGAUCGGGAGAGAGCGAGCGAGAGCAUUGAGUGGUCGCUGACCCGGCCGGAACGUUGACUCCAUGUAGUCAGUCUCCUCCCUCCCUUUCCCCGUCAUCCUCCUUUACAUUUUCCCCUGAGUUUUGCCGUGUAGCCGUACCUUCGAUUACGCGGAGUUACCUUACCUUCCCCGUUCGCUUCGCUACACCUCGCCUCAUCUCGUCGCGCAUCGCCUAUGAGUUUGUCCGACGAUAGCGUAUCUCAUCGUCGCGUUCCCGAGGAAUCUCCGAUCUCCUUCCCCACCCUUCCUCCACCCCCUUCUGCGGAGUUUCCUCCACGUUAAGUUUUUCCUUCCUCGACUUUUCCGCUGGGUAUCAGUAGGUAUCUUUAGUAUCUUUACUUUCCGUUUUACCUCCCAAUGUGCCGAUCGCCGUUACUCGGAGCACCGCACCUCGCUGACUUCGCCCAUUCAUUUUUCCUUGUCCAUCGCAUUUCCAGUUUCAUAUCGACGGAGAGAGGGCGCGAUUCCCUGCGCCUGGUUGAAAAAUGCAAAACUGUUGUUGUCAAUUUCGAAGAUCCACGCGCGACGUCAACGUCGACAAAUAUGUUUUGAAAUGAGAUUUGAA